rnacentral:sRNA from 2 species
AGCCCCAGGAAUCCACAAGGGAAAUGAUUGACAAAGGGGCGAUUGCUACAGUGCCGUUACCUGUAACCAAUCGUUACCCCAAGUAUAGUAGAUUAGGGGUGAUCGAUCUCGAACUGAUAUGUCCAUUGCUUCGCAGCUAACCCUUCAUAUGCUCUUAACAUCAUCUAUCAAAUCUUUGAGGAGAGUGACAAUCUUGCGACCUGUAAGAAUGGCGUCGCAGAGUGGAACAUCAACCUUUACUUCGAAUCUAUAAAAGUUCUCGUUUACUAGUUCCCUAAUCAUCGGAAUCAUUCAUUCAUCCUUGUUUGCUUGCUUGCCAUUGCAGGCAACUAACCUUUUCAGCAU